GCCUGGCUGGCUCAGCUGGUGGAGCGUGUGACUCUUGAUCUCAUGGUUGUGAGUUUAAGCCCCAUGUUGGGUG
rnacentral:tRNA from 1 species